rnacentral:lncRNA from 1 species
GUCGAUGAAUGUGGGGUACCGUUCCUUGAUGAUGUGGUCAUGUUUGUAGUCGGCCUUAUUGUCCUUUAGAUGUUCCACGGUGUUCCGCUCGCUCUUCUCAUAGGCCUCCCGGGGCUUCCGGACAGACACCUUGCAUUCCCGGACCUUGUUGACGAUGAAUUCUUGGAGGAGAAACCUGAUAUCUUCGAUGAGGCAGUCAUCAUAAAGAAGUCUGAAUAUCUUGGUUGAGAGCUAGACUUUGGAAACAGAGAGGCCCUGUAUAAUAACAGACUAAGAAGUAAGGAAGACAAGCCCAGCCAGUCCCACAACUAUUUCAUUAAUACCAGGUAAAGCAACAGACCUGCCAAUGAAGCAUCUUGGAUCCUUUAGCUUUAGUAAUGUUCUUGUAGUAAUUUUGGAAGUCAAUACUUUCCUUAAGAAUACUAAAGUUUUCUUUUGGGAAAAGAGAAAAACUGAGGAGAGGAAACAAACUGCUCUUAUACCUUCUUCCAUGAUCUUUGGAUGAAGGUUAAGUUAUGGGCCCCAAAAGUGGGCUAGCCUCAUUUGGAUAAUACUCCAUCCUAAGCAGUAUGGUUUUGAAUAAGUUGCUGAGACUUUCUGUGCCUCCAUUUGUAAAUGGUAUAAUAAUACCUAGUUCAUGGAAUUGUUGUGAGAAUGACAUAAGUGAAAGUAUGUAUAUUUCCAUGUUCUAUAUAAACUGGUUUUCUACAAAUUACAAAGCAACAACUAACCAAGUUAAUUGAAAUUGAGUACUUUAUUCAAGUAAUAAAUAUCUGGUAUUUACAAAUCAAAAUUGAAAAUCAUAGUACAUAACAAAAAUUCAUAUAUACAGAUCAACAAAUAUAGUAAUUUAAAACACC